rnacentral:rRNA from 1 species
CCUACGGGGGGCAGCAGUGGGGAAUAUUGGGCAAUGGGCGCAAGCCUGACCCAGCAACGCCGCGUGAAGGAAGAAGGCUUUCGGGUUGUAAACUUCUUUUCUGCGGGACGAAGAAAGUGACGGUACCUCCGGAAUAAGCCACGGCUAACUAGGUGCCAGCAGCCGUGGUAAUACGUAGGUGGCAAGCGUUAUCCGGAUUUAUUGGGUGUAAAGGGUGUGUAGGCGGGAAAGCAAGUCAGAUGUGAAGACUCAGGGCUCAACCCUGGGCCUGCAUUUGAAACUGUUUUUCUUGAGUGCUGGAGAGGUAAUCGGAAUUCCGUGUGUAGCGGUGAAAUGCGUAGAUAUACGGAGGAACACCAGUGGCGAAGGCGGAUUGCUGGACAGUAACUGACGCUGAGGCGCGAAAGCGUGGGGAGCAAACAGGAUUAGAUACCCUUGUAGUC